rnacentral:rRNA from 1 species
GACGAACCGAGCGAACGUUAUUCGGAAUCACUGGGCUUAAAGGGCGCGUAGGCGGGCGGCCAAGUCGAGGGUGAAAGCCCCCAGCUCAACUGGGGAAGUGCCUCCGAUACUGGCCAUCUCGAGGGAGGUAGGGGCGUGCGGAACUUCCGGUGGAGCGGUGAAAUGCGUAGAUAUCGGAAGGAACACCGGUGGCGAAAGCGGCGCGCUGGACCUCUUCUGACGCUGAGGCGCGAAAGCCAGGGGAGCAAACGGG